rnacentral:rRNA from 1 species
GGCGACCGGCGCACGGGUGAGUAACGCGUAUGCAACUUACCUAUCAGAGGGGGAUAGCCCGGCGAAAGUCGGAUUAAUACCCCAUAAAACAGGGGUCCCGCAUGGGAAUAUUUGUUAAAGAUUCAUCGCUGAUAGAUAGGCAUGCGUUUCAUUAGGCAGUUGGCGGGGUAACGGCCCACCAAACCGACGAUGGAUAGGGGUUCUGAGAGGAAGGUCCCCCACAUUGGAACUGAGACACGGUCCAA